rnacentral:rRNA from 1 species
GAUGAACGCUGGCGGCGUGCCUAAUACAUGCAAGUCGAGCGAACAGAUGAGGAGCUUGCUCCUCUGACGUUAGCGGCGGACGGGUGAGUAACACGUGGAUAACCUACCUAUAAGACUGGGAUAACUUCGGGAAACCGGAGCUAAUACCGGAUAACAUAUUGAACCGCAUGGUUCAAUAGUGAAAGACGGCUUUGCUGUCACUUAUAGAUGGAUCCGCGCCGCAUUAGCUAGUUGGUAAGGUAACGGCUUACCAAGGCAACGAUACGUAGCCGACCUGAGAGGGUGAUCGGCCACACUGGAACUGAGACACGGUCCAGACUCCUACGGGAGGCAGCAGUAGGGAAUCUUCCGCAAUGGGCGAAAGCCUGACGGAGCAACGCCGCGUGAGUGAUGAAGGUCUUCGGAUCGUAAAACUCUGUUAUCAGGGAAGAACAAAUGUGUAAGUAACUAUGCACAUCUUGACGGUACCUGAUCAGAAAGCCACGGCUAACUACGUG